rnacentral:rRNA from 1 species
AGAGUUGAUCCUGGCUCAGGAUGAACGCUAGCGGCAGGCUAACACAUGCAAGUCGAGGGGUAACAGGGAAGCUUGCUUCUGCUGACGACCGGCGCACGGGUGCGGAACGCGUAUGGAACCUGCCCCUGUCAGAGGGAUAGCCCAUGGAAACGUGGAUUAAUACCUCAUGGUAAUGCGGGAUUGCAUGAUUUUGCAUUUAAAGAUUUAUCGGACAGGGAUGGCCAUGCGUAUCAUUAGCUAGUUGGCGAGGUAACGGCUCACCAAGGCGACGAUGAUUAGGGGCCCUGAGAGGGGGAUCCCCCACACUGGUACUGAGACACGGACCAGACUCCUACGGGAGGCAGCAGUGAGGAAUAUUGGACAAUGGUCGGAAGACUGAUCCAGCCAUGCCGCGUGCCGGAAGACGGCCCUAUGGGUUGUAAAACUGCUUUUCUACCAGGAAGAAUGAUACCCUCGUGAGGGUAGUUGGACGGUACUGUUAGGAAUAAAGGACCGGCUAACUCCGUGCCAAGCAGCCGCGGUCAUACGGCGGGUCCGAGCGUUAUCCGGGAAUCAUUGGGUUUAAAGGGUCCG